rnacentral:tRNA from 1 species
CCCAUGGCGCAAUGGUCAGCGCAGGGGACUCAUAAUCCCUUGGUUGCAGGUUCGAAUCCUGCUGGGCCC